rnacentral:rRNA from 1 species
GACGAACGCUGGCGGCGUGCUUAACACAUGCAAGUCGAACGGAAAGGCCCUGCUUUUGUGGGGUGCUCGAGUGGCGAACGGGUGAGUAACACGUGAGUAACCUGCCCUUGACUUUGGGAUAACUUCAGGAAACUGGGGCUAAUACCGGAUAGGAGCUCCUGCUGCAUGGGGGGGGUUGGAAAGUUUCGGCGGUUGGGGCUGGACUCGCGGCUUAUCCGCUUGUUGGUGGGGUAGUGGCUUACCAAGGCUUUGACGGGUAGCCGGCCUGAGAGGGUGAUAGGCCACACGGGAACGGAGACACGGGCCAGACGCCUACGGGAGGCAGCAGUAGGGAAUCGUCCGCAAUGGGCGAAAGCCUGACGGAGCACCGCCGGGUGAGUGAUGAAGGUCUUCGGAUCGUAAAACUCUGUUAUUAGGGAAGAACAGAUGUGUAAGUAACUGUGCACAUCUUGACGGUACCUAAUCAGAAAGCCACGGCUAACUACGUG